AGCAGCCGCGGUAAUUCCAGCUCCAAUAGCGUAUAUUAAAGUUGUUGCAGUUAAAAAGCUCGUAGUUGAAUUUCGGGAUCGAUGGGUCGGUCAUGCCCUCGGUAUGUACUGGUCUCAUUGGUUCUCACCUUCUAAGGAACCAUGAUGUCAUUCGGUUGAUGUUGUGGGGAAUUAGGACUGUUACCUUGAAAAAAUUAGAGUGUUUAAAGCAGGCUCGCGCUUGAAUACAUUAGCAUGGAAUAAUGAAAUAGGACGUUUGACCCUAUUUUGUUGGUUUCUAGGAUCGACGUAAUGAUUAAUAGGGAUAGUUGGGGGCGUUAGUAUUCAAUUGUCAGAGGUGAAAUUCUUGGAUUUAUUGAAGACUAACUACUGCGAAAGCAUUUGCCAAGGAUGUUUUCAUUAAUCAAGAACGAAAGUUAGGGAUCGAAGACGAUCAGAUACCGUCGUAGUCUUAACCAUAAACUAUGCCGACUAGGGAUCGGAUGAUGUUAAUUUUUAAUGACUCAUUCGGCGU
rnacentral:rRNA from 1 species